CCUACGGGGGGCAGCAGUGAGGAAUCUUGGUCAAUGGACGAGAGUCUGAACCAGCCAAGUAGCGUGAAGGAUGACUGCCCUAUGGGUUGUAAACUUCUUUUAUAUGGGAAUAAAAUGUUCCACGUGUGGGAUUUUGUAUGUACCAUAUGAAUACGGAUCGGCUAACUCCGUGCCAGCAGCCGCGGUAAUCCGGAGGAUCCGAGCGUUAUCCGGAUUUAUUGGGUUUAAAGGGAGCGUAGGUGGAUUGUUAAGCCAGUUGUGAAAGUGUGCGGCUCACCCGGAAAAUUGCAGUUGAAACUGGGAGUCUUGAGUACAGUAGAGGUGGGCGGAAUUAGUGGUGUAGCAGUGAAAUGCGUAGAUAUCGCGAAGAACUCCGAUUGCGAAGGCAGCUCACUGGACUGCAACUGACACUGAGGCUCGAAAGUGUGGGUAUCAAACAGGAUUAGAUACCCGUGUAGUC
rnacentral:rRNA from 1 species